rnacentral:rRNA from 1 species
AUUGAACGCUGGCGGCAUGCUUUACACAUGCAAGUCGAACGGCAGCGCGGGCUUCGGCCUGGCGGCGAGUGGCGAACGGGUGAGUAAUACAUCGGAACGUUCCCAGUAGUGGGGGAUAGCUCGGCGAAAGCCGGAUUAAUACCGCAUACGACCUGAGGGUGAAAGCGGGGGAUCUUCGGACCUCGCGCUAUUUGAGCGGCCGAUGGCAGAUUAGCUAGUUGGUGGGGUAAAGGCCUACCAAGGCGACGAUCUGUAGCUGGUCUGAGAGGACGACCAGCCACACGGGGACUGAGCCACGGCCCCGACUCCUACGGGAGGCAGCAGUGGGGAAUUUUGGACAAUGGGGGAAAGCCUGAUCCAGCAAUGCCGCGUGUGUGAUGAAGGCCUUCGGGUUGUAAAGCACUUUUGGCGGGAACGAAAAGGACUGUGCCAAUACCACGGUUCGAUGACGGUACCCGCAGAAUAAGCACCGGCUAACUACGUG